rnacentral:ncRNA from 1 species
CUUAAUUUGACUCAACACGGGGAAACUCACCAGGUCCAGACAUGACUAGGAUUGACAGAUUGAUAGCUCUUUUAUGAUUUUAUGGGUGGUAGUGCAUGGCUGUUUUUAGUUGGUAGAGUGAUUUGUCUGGUUAAUUCCAAUAACAAAUGAGACCUUAACCUGCUAAAUAGCCAGGCUGGUGAGCAAAGACAUUUAACCCCCCUAUAUCUCCUGAGGGG